rnacentral:rRNA from 1 species
UACGAAGGGGGCUAGCGUUGCUCGGAAUCACUGGGCGUAAAGCGCACGUAGGCGGAUCGCUAAGUCAGGGGUGAAAUCCUGGAGCUCAACUCCAGAACUGCCUUUGAUACUGGCAAUCUCGAGUCCGGGAGAGGUGAGUGGAACUGCGAGUGUAGAGGUGAAAUUCGUAGAUAUUCGCAAGAACACCAGUGGCGAAGGCGGCUCACUGGCCCGGUACUGACGCUGAGGUGCGAAAGCGUGGGGAGCAACAGG